ensembl:lncRNA
UGAAUAUUAAGUAGAGUUAAAGCAGUUAGUUGACUGGCAGCUAAUUUCAAUGUCCUUCCGUUGUUAUGUAACAUUGUGGGAAUGUUCUGUAGAAGAACAUUCCAUUAAUAUGUUAUCUCAACAACAUCCCCAAAACAUGCAGGGAAAAUGUUUCACAUUGGUUGAUGUAGUGUGUAUAAAACGUUCUGCCAUCAGAAGCCUUGAUAACAUCUUGAGAACAUAUUUUGAAUGUUGAUUUUAGAACAUUCUUCCAUCACAAUCAUGUACGACAAUCUGUAUGGAAGCAAAUCAGACUCAUCAGAUUCUGAAUUUUAAAAGCUGCUGAAUUUCUUACUUUGAAUUUUUUUGCAUCAAAAUUACGUAUGUGAAUUUUUUAUGCCUGAAUUUAGCUCAUCAAAAUUCUAAAAACCAGUUAAAAAUUCAAUGUCUUCAAAAUUCGCCAUCAAAAAAAUUCGAUGUCUUCAAAAUUCGCCGUCAAAAAAAUUCGACGUGUUCAAAAUUUGCCAUCAAAAAAUUCAAUGUUCAAAAUUCGCCGUCAAAAAAUUCAAUGUUCAAAAUUCGCCUCAAAAAAUUCACUGUUCACAUCCAGGGGACUCAGGCGUAAACAAUCGAGCUUGGCCAAAAUCGAACCAACGCCCAGCCAAUCACGUGACGCUCCUCCGGUCAUGUGACGCGGUCGGUUCACCUCACAAUACCGGGGUCAACCACGGCUACCAGCAUGAACGACGGCGCUUCAUCCACUCCACAGCAACACCGUCUGAACUGACCAGUCUGGUGAAAUUCUGGACUGGAUGGGAGACUCUACCAAGAACUCUCUCUUCAGAAGUAGUGAAUGGCAGAUACCUGACAGCCUCCACCUGCUAUGAGACCUUACAUUCCCAGGACAUUACAAGGACCACACAUCAUUUAAGACUGACAUCCUGGCCUGUAUUUGCACUUGUCAGACAAGAUAUGUUAUGUGUUGUUCUCUAGUUAGUUUUACUUAGCUGACAAAACUAAGUGCACUGUUGGAUUCCCUCCCCUACCUGUUCUUCCAACUCACCUGACAGGUCAUCUGGCUCAAGUAUGCGUGUUUCUGCCAUACAUUUAAUGUAUCUGAAGUUAAGAUAUUUCUGGUGAACAAUAUAUGCAAUCACGGCAUUAAAGCAGGAG